GUCAUCACUAACUCUUGUACAUUAAUAAAAUAUCUAUAACUUCAUUCUAUUAAUACUUAUUCAAACACCACACAAUAUACUUUUGUACAAUAUUUGAUAUCUAUCAAACUCCUUUAACAAGCCUACAUUGGCAUUCAAGUACACACAUACAUACCUUCAACUUAAAAAGAUAGCUAGCAAUUACCAGUCAAACAGCUUGCAUCUCCCUCUCCCUGGCAGCAACUGUAUUAUUCGGCAUCACCACUCUUUCUGCCUCCACACCCAAAACAUCAUCAGCCUCCAUCUCCGGCAUGGCCAAUCCCCGCACGAACUCCGUAAACCUCGGCCAAUGCUCCGGCGAGAAGAAAUCCGCCCCCAUCCUCUGAUAAGUAAACGACUCCACGCUCCUCGUCAACAUAAUUUCCUUGAUUCUCCUAAACCCAGCCCCCACACCAAGCGAAGAUGAAUUCUCUCCACCCAUCACCACCCCAUGCCUCUCGCAAGCCCCAAUAAUAUCCGACAGCAACCUCUCAGGGCUCGACUGAACCCCUCUCGGCCUGUCCUCCUCCGCAAUAUCGACCCCUGGGACAACCAUCAUACAACAAUUCUUCGCAAACACUUCCGCAACCGCAUCAUAGGCAUUGCGAUCCCCGGCGUGAUAGUAACCGGCUGUCAGUAGUGCUGGCCGUGACCGCAUAUUGUACCAGCAAUGUACAAGCGGCACCUUGCCAGAAAUCCUCACAGUGAAACUACCACCACCAAACACAGUGGAUGCCAAUGACAGGAGACGGUCAGCGUGGGAGAUCAGCUGGCCUGAAUACCAAUUGAGGAAGAAUUUACCGUAAGAUGACUCCCAUGAGCCGUUAUCCUUGAAAAAAUUCCCGAACUCUGGGGUCUGGUUGUACUCCGGUGCGUCGUGGGGACCACCGAGCCCCCAGAGCGGGUUGCCGGAGGCGUCGGCGUGGGUCUUGAGUGAUUGAAGCAUGUACUUGCCGUAGCAUUGGAAUUCUCCGAUGCCAGUGAAUUUUUCUAUGGAAGAGGUGGGGUAGGAAGGGUAACGGAGCUCGCUGCCAGGGCCGAGACCGACUGUGAUAUCGGUGAUUGUUGAGCCGAGGAGAUCAGCGAAGGCUGAUUGGAAGCUGAGGAAGAAAUUCUGAUAAGCUGACAUAGGUGUCGAGCCGUUGAGGAUGGAGAGGUCGUCGACGGCGAAGGAGAGGCAGCCGGGAAACCGGCGGCCGGAGCGGUCGGUGAAGAGAAGGUCCGGAUUGGCGGCGGCGAUGGUGGAGAUCCAUUUGGGGAGGGCACCGUGGAGGUGGAGGGAGACACGGAGGCGGAGGCCGGAGUCACGGGCGGCGACAGCGACGGUGCGGUAGGCUGACCAGUCGAAUUGAUCUGGGGCGUCUUGCUGGACGACGGACCAGCGGAUUGGGAGGUCUAGACCGUGUACGCCUAGAAGCUUGAGGGCGCGGAUACCGGCAGCGAUGGCUUUGGAGUGGUUGAGGGUAUUGGACUCGGAGACGGUGUCAAGAGGGAGCCCGACGAAGAGAGGCGGUGAAGAUAGUUGGGGUUGAAGUUUUGAUGGGGUGGGAUUGAUGGCCACUUGAGAACGGGGCGGUGCAGCGGCGCGGAUGCUUGACUUUUUGGUGGUUGUGGUUGGGAUGAAAGUGAUUCUUCUCGGCUUGGAUGAUGUUUGGUUUGGUUGGCCCAGUGGGAAGAGCUCCGGCUUUGGUGAGACGGACUGACGGAGCAUGAGAGAGGCGUCCAUGGAGGUUGGUUGAUGAAGGGGGAGGAUGAGGGAUGAGGAAGGAGGAUGAGCCCUAUAUUAAGGGGUGGCCAUGGGCGGCUUGGAAUGGCGCUAAAAUGCAAAAAG
rnacentral:misc_RNA from 1 species